AGAGGCUCCUCCGGUCACCAGGCCGACCAUGCCCUGUCAGACGCAAGCACCGUGCGCAACACAAACACUCAGUCAGAAUUCUUUUUUCACACCUAGACCAGAGACUGGAUUAGACAUUCCAGGCGACCCCAGAUGGGGUCCUGACCGCAGUGUUGAAAAACACAGGCCUACUCACUCUUCCCUCUACCAACUGCUUAUUACUGCACCCUCAGAUGGGCAGUCAUCAAGGCAACAAGGGGCCUCUACCUCAACCCCAUCUCCUGAUUGGUUGUCUCUGCUGGCUAAGGCACACUGGAUUGGCU